GGGUUGUGAGGUUAAGCGACUAAGCGUACACGGUGGAUGCCCUGGCAGUCAGAGGCGAUGAAGGACGUGCUAAUCUGCGAUAAGCGCCGGUAAGGUGAUAUGAACCGUUAUAACCGGCGAUUUCCGAAUGGGGAAACCCAGUGUGAUUCGUCACACUAUCAUUAACUGAAUCCAUAGGUUAAUGAGGCGAACCGGGGGAACUGAAACAUCUAAGUACCCCGAGGAAAAGAAAUCAACCGAGAUUCCCCCAGUAGCGGCGAGCGAACGGGGAGGAGCCCAGAGCCUGAAUCAGCAUGUGUGUUAGUGGAAGCGUCUGGAAAGGCGCGCGAUACAGGGUGACAGCCCCGUACACAAAAGCGCAUGUGCUGUGAGCUCGAUGAGUAGGGCGGGACACGUGGUAUCCUGUCUGAAUAUGGGGGGACCAUCCUCCAAGGCUAAAUACUCCUGACUGACCGAUAGUGAACCAGUACCGUGAGGGAAAGGCGAAAAGAACCCCGGCGAGGGGAGUGAAAAAGAACCUGAAACCGUGUACGUACAAGCAGUGGGAGCACCCUUCGGGGUGUGACUGCGUACCUUUUGUAUAAUGGGUCAGCGACUUAUAUUCUGUAGCAAGGUUAACCGUAUAGGGGAGCCGGAGGGAAACCGAGUCUUAACCGGGCGUUAAGUUGCAGGGUAUAGACCCGAAACCCGGUGAUCUAGCCAUGGGCAGGUUGAAGGUUGGGUAACACUAACUGGAGGACCGAACCGACUAAUGUUGAAAAAUUAGCGGAUGACCUGUGGCU
rnacentral:rRNA from 1 species